rnacentral:tRNA from 1 species
ACUCUUUUAUCUUAAUGGUUCGAGCGUUGGGUUUGAAGCCAAAAGACGGUGGUUCAAGCCCACCAGGGGACC